rnacentral:scRNA from 1 species
GUGUGCAAGGUCUCCGCCAACGGCGAGAUCGA